AGAGUUUGAUCAUGGCUCAGAAUGAACGUUGGCGGCGUGGAUUAGGCAUGCAAGUCGAGCGAGAACCCCGCAAGGGGGGACAGCGGCGAAAGGGACAGUAACACGUAGAUUACCUACCCUCUGGUUCAGGAUAGCUGCGGGAAACUGCAGGUAAUACUGAAUAACAUCUCCGGAUCAAAGGUGUGAUUCCGCCGGAGGAUGGGUCUGCGUCCUAUUAGCUUGUUGGUAGGGUAACGGCCUACCAAGGCAAUGAUGGGUAGUGGGUGUGAGAGCACGACCCGCGUCACUGGGACUGAGACACUGCCCAGACACCUACGGGUGGCUGCAGUCGAGGAUCUUCGGCAAUGGGCGCAAGCCUGACCGAGCGACGCCGCGUGCGGGAUGAAGGCCUUCGGGUUGUAAACCGCUGUCAGAGGGGAUGAAAUGCUUAUGGGUUCUCCCAUAGGUUUGACAUAUCCUCAGAGGAAGUACGGGCUAAGUUCGUGCCAGCAGCCGCGGUAAGACGAACCGUACGAACGUUAUUCGGAAUCACUGGGCUUAAAGGGUGCGUAGGCUGCGCGGAAAGUUGGGUGUGAAAUCCCUCGGCUCAACCGAGGAACUGCGCCCAAAACUACCGUGCUCGAGGGAGACAGAGGUGAGCGGAACUUAGGGUGGAGCGGUGAAAUGCGUUGAUAUCCUAAGGAACACCCGUGGCGAAAGCGGCUCACUGGGUCUCUUCUGACGCUGAGGCACGAAAGCUAGGGUAGCGAACGGGAUUAGAUACCCCAGUAGUCC
rnacentral:rRNA from 1 species